GUUCUGAUGAUCUGGUGAAUGAAGCAUUUGACUUUGCUAAGAAUUUAUGUUCCUUACAGCUGACUGAGGAGGAGAUUGCCUUGUUUUCAUCUGCUGUUCUGAUAUCACCAGAUCGAGCCUGGUUAAUAGAGCCAAGGAAGGUCCAGAAGCUUCAGGAAAAGAUUUACUUUGCACUUCAACAUGUGAUCCAGAAGAACCACCUCGAUGAUGAGACUUUGACAAAGUUAAUAGCCAAGAUACCAACCAUUACUGCACUUUGCAACUUGCACGGAGAGAAACUACAGGUAUUUAAACAGUCUCACCCAGAUAUAGUGAACACACUAUUUCCUCCAUUAUACAAGGAGCUUUUCAAUCCAGACUCAACCACUGGCUGCAAGUGAAGGGGAUAAUGAAAUUUUCACGUAGUCAUGGAAUGCAUCACUGUUAAGACAAAAAGAAAUGUUUUCAUAAUGAACUUAUUAAAAAUGUCACUACUGCAACACUAGGAAUGUUCUGCACUUAAUAGAAUUAUUUUUCACCGCUACAGUUUGAAGAAUGUAAAUAUGCAAUUCUGAGUGGGGAUGUCAUUUUUCUCUUUUCUUUGAUUACCUUUUUUUUUUCUUUU